AUUUUCUUAAACUCCGUUAUAUUGGGGUGGAUUACUGCUUCCAAGGGAGAUAACUAGUUUGGAAUUUUCAAAUAAUAUUUAUUCUUUAUUUGUUUCCAUGAUUGUAUCAGCACAUUUCUUAUUUUAUGUCUAUAAAAGUAUAGAUACAGCUUGUUUUCUUUGUCCCACAGGAAGGCAUGCCAUCCUCUUUGUCAUGCCCUUCUAUAGUUAAUAUUCUUUUUUUCCCUUAGAUUGAGCCAAUCUCGUAUCCAUACAAGUAUUGCUGUUUUAUGGUAUAGUUCCCAAUCUGGAAGCCCAAGGUCACCUCUGCUCUUACUAUCUUGUAAAUCUUUUAACUUUAUUUGGAAUUUUUUGCCUGCCCAAACAAAUUUUGUGAUUAUUCUAUUAAGCUCUCUAAAAAAAUUCUUAUCUAAUUUUGUUGGAGUUGUUUGAAAUAAAUAUAGAAUCUUUGGCAGGACAUUCAUUUUUAUAGUCGCUAUUCUUCCUAAUAACAAUAAUAGUAGAGUCCCCCAUUUUUCCAAAUCCUUUUAAAUUUGAUUGAGUAAUUUGGUGUAGUUGUCUUCUUUUAUUGUGGAGUACUUUGCUGUUAACCAUAUUUCUAAAUAUUUAAUUUUUUUGUGAUUUGUAGUCCCAUUACUUUUUCUAACUCCUUUUUAUUUCAAUUUAUAUUUUUCACUAGCAUUUUGGUUUUGUCUCUGUUGAUUUUAAAUCCUGAAAUCCCUCCAUAUUUUUCUAAUUCCUCUAUCAAAAUUGGGCUUAAUUCUAGUGGCUCCUCAAUAAAAAAAACCCAAAUCAUCUGUGAAUGCUUGUAGUUUAUACUCUUCUUAAUUUUUGUUCCCUGUAUUUCUGAAUUAUUCCUAAUUUUUAUAAAUAAUGGAUGGAUGGAGAUCAUUAAAC